GAGUUUGAUCCUGGCUCAGGAUGAACGCUGGCGGCGUGCCUAAUACAUGCAAGUCGAGCGAACAGAUGAGAAGCUUGCUUCUCUGAUGUUAGCGGCGGACGGGUGAGUAACACGUGGGUAACCUACCUAUAAGACUGGGAUAACUCCGGGAAACCGGGGCUAAUACCUGAUAAUAUUUUGAACCGCAUGGUUCAAUAGUGAAAGGCGGCUUCGGCUGUCACUUAUAGAUGGACCCGCGCCGUAUUAGCUAGUUGGUAAGGUAAUGGCUUACCAAGGCGACGAUACGUAGCCGACCUGAGAGGGUGAUCGGCCACACUGGAACUGAGACACGGUCCAGACUCCUACGGGAGGCAGCAGUAGGGAAUCUUCCGCAAUGGGCGAAAGCCUGACGGAGCAACGCCGCGUGAGUGAUGAAGGUUUUCGGAUCGUAAAACUCUGUUGUUAGGGAAGAACAAAUUUGUUAGUAACUGAACAAGUCUUGACGGUACCUAACCAGAAAGCCACGGCUAACUACGUG
rnacentral:rRNA from 1 species